AACUGCUUGAAAUCGUCACAAAAGGACUAAAGAUGUGCAUCCAACCUAUAGUUAAGGUCUACACAGUGACAUCAGGGGAAACCUUUGGGGC